GACAGAGGUGCCGAGCGUUAGGCGGAAUCACUGGGCUUAAAGCGUGUGUAGGCGGAUCUGUAAGUACCUUGUGAAAUCCCACGGCUCAACCGUGGAACUGCUUGGUAUACUGCGGGUCUUGAGCCACUUAGGGGCAAGUGGAACAAACGGUGGAGCGGUGAAAUGCGUAGAUAUCGUUUGGAACGCCAAUGGUGAAAACAACUUGCUGGGGGUGUGCUGACGCUGAGACACGAAAGCCAGGGGAGCAAACGGG
rnacentral:rRNA from 1 species